rnacentral:rRNA from 1 species
CAGCAGUAGCCGCGGGAAUACGUAGGGUGCGAGCGUUAAUCGGAAUUACUGGGCGUAAAGCGAGCGCAGACAGUUAUUUAAGCAGGAUGCGAAAUCCCCGGGCUUAACCUGGGAACUGCGUUCUGAACUGGAUAGCUAGAGUGUGUCAGAGGGGGGUAGAAUUCCACGUGUAGCAGUGAAAUGCGUAGAGAUGUGGAGGAAUACCGAUGGCGAAGGCAGCCCCCUGGGAUAACACUGACGUUCAUGCUCGAAAGCGUGGGUAGCAAACAGGAUUAGAUACCCCGGUAGUCCCUGUCUCUUAUAC